ensembl:lncRNA
GCUGGAGAUACCUGCCUACCUGAGGCCUCCUGAAGAACCACAGAAUAUCCCAUGUCAGAAGAGACUCGCUCAGCCCUCAGCAUGUGUGGAUUCCACAGUUUAACCAGGAACUUGUGGAACUGCUGUCUUGUAAUUCUUGUUCUGACAAGUGGAGAUAAGCGCUGGUAGUUCUGAUGAGUCCAGCUGUGUCAGGAAGGGCCGGCCAUGGAAUGGAUGGCAGUAAAGAUUGUUGCUGAGAUUUCCAACCUUGGAUCUCAAAUUUUAACAGAAAGUGUGGAGAACAGAAACACAAACCUUCUGUUCUGGAGGAUUUUAAGGAACAGAAAUCCUAGCUGAAAAAAAGAUUCCACUGUACAUUUUCAGUCUUUCGUCUGGAGAUUUAUCUUAUCCACAAACUUCGCUACUUUAAAUAUAGGCUAGGUUGUAAACAUGCGGAUAAUUCCUUUGUAGGCUAGCUUUAGAUAUUAAGUCUGCUGAUAAAUGCAUGAGUAAAACCUGAACAAAGGUUUUAUUACACAAUAAGCAGCUGAUGCAUCUUAUUCCUUCAUUUGUGUUGUUUUUUUCCUACCAUACUGAAGUUGUUCUGGAAAAAUUUAAUGAGCCAUCUGCUAAAAUACAGUUUUGCUCUAUAAAUCGUCAGGAAAAAAUAGCAGCAGAUUCCUCAGAAGAAAAGCUUUUCCUUAAACUAGUCCAAAGUGCUGUCUUCUGAUCUUAGCAAGAAACCUUUUCUUUUGUGGUGUAAUUUUUUUUUAUUUUAAUUCCCAUUAAAUUCAUAGAGCCAGAGAAUCUGCUCUGGAACAAUUUACACUGUUUAUGAAUGAAGUGAUUAAACAUCUUUGUUACACAGACAAGUUUUGUCUUCAGUUGUAUUUGUGAUAGACCCUGUUAGGAUCAUUUAUCUGUCUGGCUCCCAUACAAAAUGUCUAUUUCUUUGCAGAUUUAUCAGAGGAAUAUUGUGUUAGCGGAGGUGCUCAAACACUGAUGUUGAUUGUGUUUGAUGAUGUUUUAAUGACAUUGCUUUUCAUAAUGAAGCCAGCAUUUAACAUUCAGAGAAAUAAUAAAUAUCAGCUGUAGGCUAAACCUGUAUUGGAUCAUAUAUAAGGUUGGAGUUUUUUCUGUGAGAGAAUACUAGGUUUCGUACUUAUAGGAAUGUAUUUUCAAAGUCUUCUACGAGAUUUUUAGGAAUUCCUUCUUUGUCAGAUGCUAUCAGUUACAUCGAAUCAGAGGCAAUGGAUGGCACGUGCUGGCACGUGCUUACUUUUUCAUUAGCAUAGAUAGAUUAUACUUAUGCUCCUAGCUCAGUCAGCAGAUGCGGCAUCCAUUUCUCCUGGUCUGCACAGAAAGGCAUGUCAGUGUAACUACACAGAUCUUGGCACAACAUCAGUUGCAUACAUUUAGGUGUUUUCUAGUCAUACAGUAAUGUUAGUCUUUUUUUUAUCAGCAGUCUUCUUUAUCAGGGAUUUACAAUGAGGAUGUUGUAACUUAUCAGAGUGUCUAAAUUUGGUUAUCAUUUGUAAUAAUAA